GGCCAGGAGCUUUGAAAACAAAAAAUAAAGUAGAAAAUAAGAGAAGAAAAAACGAGAGAGAGAAAGAAAAGGUGGAUCAUUUGGUGCUUCUCCAAUUAGUGACGACAUCAGAGUGGAAGUAAGGUGAUUGGCAGAAGAGAACCCCAACGAGAUUUCAAGGAGUUCUCUGUAAAAACAAAUUAGAGGAAAGAGCAAGAGAAAAAAGUUGACUAGAGAACAAGCGUCGGUGACAACAUUGAAGUGCGGCUAUAAUGCAUGUUGAGGGUGGCUAGAGUUAAGAAAGAGAUGUGGAGAAUAAGAAGAAAAGAAAAAAAAUGAAAACGGGAAAGAAUAAAAGAAGAGGGAAAAACGAGAAAAGGAAAGACUAAAAAAAAGGGAAAAAACAGUAAAAAGAAAAAGAAAAUGACAUCAUCAUGAUGUCAUUAUGCCACAUGUCACG
rnacentral:lncRNA from 1 species